UCGACUCCUGUUACAAACAAAAUUGACUUUCAAAACGGGGACCGAAGUUGGCAUCGUUACGUGACGUAUUAUAACUUGAUGCCACACGCAGAGCAGAGUACCGUGAUAAAGACGUCUUGAAGACAACAUUAAACAUGAAACUUCAUAAUGCCUAAUCCCUGCACAUCAACAGUGCAAGUUAGAAACAGAGUGAACUUCUGAGGUGAAGGCAGUCCUAUCAUCAUUUACUUAAAGAUUUCGUAUGAUUCUCAGUUUCAAUAAGGAUCAUUUCCUUAAACAGCAUCAACCAUCUGAUCUUUGUUUCGGUAAAGUGUGGGAUUUUCUUAGAGUUCAUUCCAGACUUUCGUUGAAGAAACUGAGGAAGACCAUGAAAGCCUGUAACCGGUUUCGAACCUCAGAGUCAAACCUGGGGCGUAUUUGGACGCAGGCCUACUAUCCUAGCAUCUGCUUGGGAGGGACCGAGCACAAUCAAGAAGUGUCUCAGGGUAGCCGUUCUCCAAGAAUCCACGAAUUUGUAAAUAGAGAAAAGAAAUCCUGAUUGUUCAACCACGUCUAUCGGUAGUCGAGACGGUGGCCUCUUCCUCGGGGACCCUAAUUAGAUAAAAGCUGUAGUUAAGAGCAUCUUCCUCCGAGUUUUCCCAUGUGUGCGGCCUAGUAGCAGUUACACCACUGGGAGGUAUGCGACGAACGUACAGACGGACAGACGCAGAUCCAAUGAAAACGAGAGGCGUGCGAGAGAGAAGGAAGAACCAGACUGAGGUAACUGACCUCACCCAACAGCUCUUUUUAUGUUAGCACUUAAAAAGAAUAAAAAUACAUGUUACAGACGCAACAGUGACCGAAUAUUUAUGGUCCAGCUGUAACAUACGUAUUUUCUUCUGUUGCAAAUAAAAAAAAACACAUAGCACAGACCAGCAUGUGCAGACUACGAGAAUAUAUAAUUGUGGGUCGCGACCCUUUUAGACUUUUAAUAGUCUAGACAUCUCUAUCCGAUCUGAAGGAUGUAUGAAACACUUUUCUUUCUUUACGACUCUGUCUUGAAUUUGUUGUCUGGAGGAAUGAAGCACAGAGGUAAAGCAGUUUACACUGUGUUUCUUUGCCACCUUAUGCAAAAAAUCCAUACAACUAUUAAAAUAAUUUCUGUUAUGACUAAAAGUGUGAAAUUUCUCAUCCUCUUCUAACAUUCUUUCAUCUCUCUCUCUCUUCACGUGUCUUCUUUUGUACCUCUUUCUGUCCCUCUAUUUUUUAUUACAUAGGUACAGCCCUAGGCAUACAAACAGCUGUAUUUUAAAUUGUCCAUUUCCUCUUCGUUCAAUAAACAGUAUUUAUUUUAAACUGUAAAAUUAAAACUGAGCUUCAUGUAAAUAAAGAUAUUUUAGUGAACCGACAUUAGAAUAAAUUAAAUCUGCCUUAAAACUAUAAUUUUACAUGUCGUUUUUAUGGUUGUGUAAUAUGGCCUCUCAUGUUAAAGGAAUACAACAGGCUUUUUGUACGCUUCACUAAAUAUUAUUAGGACAAUAACGGUACGGAGUAUGAGAUGGGCGGGGCAUGAGGACAUAAAUAACGCAUACAAAAUUUUGUUUGAGAAAUCUUGAAGGGAAGAGAUCACUUCAAAUACCUGAGCGAAGAUUUUAGGGAUUUGGGCUGUUUAUAUAGCACAGAAUAUCACCGAUGACGGGUUCUUGUUCACGCGAUAAUGAAUCUUCCGUAAAAGGCAUUGUCUUUCUUUACCAGCUGAGCUUACCAUCAGCCUCUGAAGAAGGAUUUUGCUGCAAGGUUAAGGUACUGAAAUAUUCCCGAUUGAAGGAACGACGUAACACUCGAAAAUGUCUAUUUUCUGGGAUGUUACGCCGUGUAGUCCGGUAGUAGAUGUGCUUUCUGCCUUUACACGUCCGUCAGAUUCUUUCACACUACACAACACAACAUCCCAGAGGACAGUUAUCUUCAUAUUCGCUGCCGUGAAAACCUGAAAUCUCACUACUUAGUAACUGUCGAACUCUCUCCUUCGCUAAGAGACAUGGACAACAGACUUUUUUUUAAAAUACUUAAAAAACAUAACUACAGAAACAUCGCUGAUUUCUCCUUCACUGAAACAAGUGAAGAACAGAUAGCUGGCUUUACCUUCCUGCGUGCCUACCAUACGGACUGUCAAAAACCUUUGUUUGCUCCAGUCGCCUGGAGGAGUAGCUUAGACAUCCCGCUCAGCACGCUAUGCGUUCCUCCCCUCCACACUUUUCUCCCAGCUUUUCAAGUGCUCCAGCUCAGAGGUGAUGGAGUAAGUUCGUCGUUUGCCUCAUAGAUGGCAUUAGCUGGAGCAAAAGAUAUCUCAGAAAAGAAAAAUUCCAUUGAAUUUAAAAGAUAGUUGCUUUCAGAAUUUUUAUAUUUGGUUUCUUCGUGUGUUUAAUGACGUUUUGUUAACGGAACAGGUCAACGACAGGAUACCUAUGAAUGAGGACGAGAAAAGAAAAUACAAACCAACAGUCAUUAUGCAUUUUAAUGUACUAUUCUGGUAAAUUUGGGAACAGCAACAAAUUAUUGAAAAUUGAUCUCUGUGACAAGAUUCGAGCCCUGAACCUCUCGAAUACGAAGUCAGGAACGUAACCGUCACGCUGCAACUUUCGGUUUAAAGUUAAUUCAGAAAUAAAUUUAAAAGUUCUGCAACUGUUGGUGAUAGCUUAAGACAAUAUGAAUUAAUAGAAAAACCAUAUAUGUCAUACGUGAUUUCAGUUAGAUUCUCGGCAAGCACCUUAUAAUUGCCCUAUAUAACCGGCACACCUAGAAAUUCAAUUUUUUAAAUUAAUUUUGUUACACUAUUGGUACAGACUAUUUAACGUAAUAGGCUAUUUUACAGCGUGAAUCGCAUAGAAAAGCUAUUCAGCAGGCAAGCGACGCUCAAAAGGAAACUUAAAACUCCAGAUAAAAUUUACAGGUCGGUGUACAGCGACUUUAUGACGUCAUCGCCUCAACUGCUGAAGACAAAAUAGUAAGGACAUCCUAUGUCAGGAUAAUUGAUAAUUCGGACAGGAUGUGAGUCAGGAACCUCUCGAAAUACCGACACUUACGGAAUCCUAAAGUUGGAAGUUUUAUAAACGGGGGAAAAAUUAAGUACAAAAAGUGGAAGACAAACGCGUAAGAACGCACAAAAUACUGUGCCCUAAGCGGGACUGGGCUUAACGUUUAACGACCGCGUUAAAGUGUCUCGUAUUGAUUAUGAUGGAGAUUGUGCAUGAUUCAGAGUUCUUUGCAGUAAGCAGUCUACGACAAUUCUUUCUCACUCUUCUGCCAAUUGCCAUGAGCUGCAACGGACGUCUGUGUUUGAUAUUCCACAUUUCUUUGUCCUCACACUGACCAGGGGUCGUGAAGACGCCGAGUUAG